AGAGUUUGAUCCUGGCUCAGAUUGAACGCUGGUGGCAUGCUUAACACAUGCAAGUCGAACGGUAACAGGUCUUCGGAUGCUGACGAGUGGCGGACGGGUGAGUAACGCGUAGGAAUCUGCCCAUCUGUGGGGGAUACCAGUUGGAAACGACUGUUAAUACCGCAUAAUAUCUGCGGAUUAAAGGUGGCCUUUGCGCUGCCGCAGAUGGAUGAGCCUGCGUUGGAUUAGCUAGUUGGUGGGGUAAGGGCCUACCAAGGCUACGAUCCAUAGCUGAUUUGAGAGGAUGAUCAGCCACAUUGGGACUGAGACACGGCCCAAACUCCUACGGGAGGCAGCAGUGGGGAAUAUUGGACAAUGGGGGAAACCCUGAUCCAGCAAUGCCAUGUGUGUGAAGAAGGCUCUAGGGUUGUAAAGCACUUUAGUUGGGGAGGAAAGCCUGUGAGUUAAUAGCUUGCAGGAAGGACGUUGCCCAAAGAAUAAGGACCGGCUAACUCCGUGCCAGCAGCCGCGGUAAUACGGGGGGUCCGAGCGUUAAUCGGAAUUACUGGGCGUAAAGGGUCUGUAGGUGGUUUGUUAAGUCAGAUGUGAAAGCCCAGGGCUCAACCUUGGAACUGCAUUUGAUACUGACAAACUAGAGUAUGGUAGAGGAAUAGGGAACUUCUGGUGUAGCGGUGAAAUGCGUAGAGAUCAGAAGGAACACCAAUGGCGAAGGCAACAUUCUGGACCAAUACUGACACUGAGGGACGAAAGCGUGGGGAUCAAACAGGAUUAGAUACCCUGGUAGUCCACGCUGUAAACGAUGAGUACUAGCUGUUGGAUUCGGUGUAAAGGAUCUAGUGGCGCAGCUAACGCGUUAAGUACUCCGCCUGGGGACUACGGCCGCAAGGCUAAAACUCAAAGGAAUUGACGGGGACCCGCACAAGCGGUGGAGCAUGUUGGUUUAAUUCGAUGCAACGCGAAGAACCUUACCUGGUCUUGACAUCCUGCGAACUUUCUAGAGAUAGAUUGGUGCCUUCGGGAACGCAGUGACAGGUGCUGCACGGCUGUCGUCAGCUCGUGUUGUGAAAUGUUGGGUUAAGUCCCGCAACGAGCGCAACCCCUAUUGAUAGUUACCAUCAUUAAGUUGGGUACUCUAUUGAGACUGCCGCUGACAAGGCGGAGGAAGGUGGGGACGACGUCAAGUCAUCAUGGCCCUUACGACCAGGGCUACACACGUGCUACAAUGGGUAUUACAGAGGGCUGCGAAGGUGCGAGCUGGAGCGAAACUCAGAAAGGUACUCUUAGUCCGGAUUGCAGUCUGCAACUCGACUGCAUGAAGUCGGAAUCGCUAGUAAUCGCAGGUCAGAAUACUGCGGUGAAUACGUUCCCGGGUCUUGUACACACCGCCCGUCACACCAUGGGAGUGGGUUGCUCCAGAAGUAGAUAGCUUAACGAAUGGGCGUUUACCACGGAGUGAUUCAUAACUGGGGUGAAGUCGUAACAAGGUAGCCGUAGGGGAACCUGCGGCUGGAUCACCU
rnacentral:rRNA from 1 species